GAUAAACGCUGGCGGCGUGCCUAAUACAUGCAAGUCGAGCGAACGGACGAGAAGCUUGCUUCUCUGAUGUUAGCGGCGGACGGGUGAGUAACACGUGGAUAACCUACCUAUAAGACUGGGAUAACUUCGGGAAACCGGAGCUAAUACCGGAUAAUAUUUUGAACCGCAUGGUUCAAAAGUGAAAGACGGUCUUGCUGUCACUUAUAGAUGGAUCCGCGCUGCAUUAGCUAGUUGGUAAGGUAACGGCUUACCAGGGCAACGAUGCAUAGCCGACCUGAGAGGGUGAUCGGCCACACUGGAACUGAGACACGGUCCAGACUCCUACGGGAGGCAGCAGUAGGGAAUCUUCCGCAAUGGGCGAAAGCCUGACGGAGCAACGCCGCGUGAGUGAUGAAGGUCUUCGGAUCGUAAAACUCUGUUAUUAGGGAAGAACAUAUGUGUAAGUAACUGUGCACAUCUUGACGGUACCUAAUCAGAAAGCCACGGCUAACUACGUGCCAGCAGCCGCGGUAAUACGUAGGUGGCAAGCGUUAUCCGGAAUUAUUGGGCGUAAAGCGCGCGUAGGCGGUUUUUUAAGUCUGAUGUGAAAGCCCACGGCUCAACCGUGGAGGGUCAUUGGAAACUGGAAAACUUGAGUGCAGAAGAGGAAAGUGGAAUUCCAUGUGUAGCGGUGAAAUGCGCAGAGAUAUGGAGGAACACCAGUGGCGAAGGCGACUUUCUGGUCUGUAACUGACGCUGAUGUGCGAAAGCGUGGGGAUCAAACAGGAUUAGAUACCCUGGUAGUCCACGCCGUAAACGAUGAGUGCUAAGUGUUAGGGGGUUUCCGCCCCUUAGUGCUGCAGCUAACGCAUUAAGCACUCCGCCUGGGGAGUACGACCGCAAGGUUGAAACUCAAAGGAAUUGACGGGGACCCGCACAAGCGGUGGAGCAUGUGGUUUAAUUCGAAGCAACGCGAAGAACCUUACCAAAUCUUGACAUCCUUUGACAACUCUAGAGAUAGAGCCUUCCCCUUCGGGGGACAAAGUGACAGGUGGUGCAUGGUUGUCGUCAGCUCGUGUCGUGAGAUGUUGGGUUAAGUCCCGCAACGAGCGCAACCCUUAAGCUUAGUUGCCAUCAUUAAGUUGGGCACUCUAAGUUGACUGCCGGUGACAAACCGGAGGAAGGUGGGGAUGACGUCAAAUCAUCAUGCCCCUUAUGAUUUGGGCUACACACGUGCUACAAUGGACAAUACAAAGGGCAGCGAAACCGCGAGGUCAAGCAAAUCCCAUAAAGUUGUUCUCAGUUCGGAUUGUAGUCUGCAACUCGACUACAUGAAGCUGGAAUCGCUAGUAAUCGUAGAUCAGCAUGCUACGGUGAAUACGUUCCCGGGUCU
rnacentral:rRNA from 1 species